rnacentral:rRNA from 1 species
UACGUAGGGUGCGAGCGUUGUCCGGAAUUACUGGGCGCAAAGAGCUUGUAGGUGGUUUGUCGCGUUGUUCGUGAAAUCUCACGGCUUAACUGUGAGCGUGCGGGCGAUACGGGCAGACUAGAGUACUGCAGGGGAGACUGGAAUUCCUGGUGUAGCGGUGGAAUGCGCAGAUAUCAGGAGGAACACCGGUGGCGAAGGCGGGUCUCUGGGCAGUAACUGACGCUGAGAAGCGAAAGCGUGGGGAGCGAACAGG